rnacentral:rRNA from 1 species
CCCUUAGAUGUUCUGGGCCGCACGCGCGCUACACUGACGAAUUCAACGAGCUUAUAACCUUGGCCGAAAGGUCUAGGUAAUCUCCAAAAUUCGUCGUGAUGGGGAUAGAUUAUUGCAAUUAUUAAUCUUCAACGAGGAAUGCCUAGUAAGCGCAAGUCAUCAGCUUGCGUUGAUUACGUCCCUGCCCUUUGUACACACCGCCCGUCGCUCCUACCGAUUGGGUGAGCCGAUGAAACUCUCGGAUGUAGGCUAUUCAUAGCCCGCAGAAGAGAUUUGAAUCGUAGCGCUUAGAGGAAGGAGAAGUCGUAACA